AAAGUUAAUAUCCGAUUGACUUUAAAUUUAUACACAGUGUUUAAGGUCAUGAGACGAAGAAGCCUAUUGACUUUUAGCAAUUUCCGAUAAUUACGGCCAGAGUUAUGGCCCUUGUUAACUAUUAUAGCGAGAACUGCAGCUCUUUAUCUAAUCUCCCAUAAUGUAUCUUUAACUAUUAUAGUGAGAACUGCCAGCUCUUUGUCUUAUCUGUCGUAAUAUAUCUUUAAUAAAUCAAUUUAAUUAGAUUAGACCGUGUCAGAAAUAAUCAUCAGUGAUUUUAACAUAUUGAAGGAUACGUUCGUUCGUUCCUUCAUAGAGUUUUACGUUCACUUCCACUUGAACCAUACGAUCAUAGAACCUUUUUUAUACGCCCACAUUGACUUCAGAUUGAUACACAGAGUUUAAGAUCUUGAGACGAACAAGUAUAUUGAUUUUCAAUCAAUUUUGAUAACUUGAACAGCUAAAUCCAUGAUAUUAAAAGUUUCGUAUACUAAACGUUAGCAUGGGGCAGAACUUUACGCAAAUCUAUACACAUAACAAAAUUUCGCAUUCUGUAACAGGGUUAAGACAUCCAUUUAUUCAAAUAAUGUCUGAUCUGUUUUAAUCAUAUUAAUUUUAUUAUUACGAUCUCGCAUUCUACGCCGCUCUGUACUAAUGUGUUAUUGUUUCUUUUAUUGUAACUCUAGUAAUAAAACAUUCUUUUUAAUAAUUA